AUGAAGAUUGAUAUGAUGAAGGCAUAUGAUCGUGUCGAGUGGAGUUAUCUUCAUGGAUGCCUCUCUAAGCUUGGUUUUAAUCCGGCGUGGAUCAGCUCGGUGAUGAGAUGUGUGACCAAUGUCAGAUAUGUUGUAAGAGUCAAUGCUGAGCUUACUACUCCGAUUAUUCCCUCGAAGGGGAUCCGUCAAGGAGACCCAAUAAGCCCCUACUUGUUUCUUUUGUGCACUGAAGGCCUGUCAAGUCUGUUACUUCAAAAGGAGAAUGGUGGUGUGCUACAUGGUAUUAGGAACGGUCGGUCCGGUCCACCCAUCUCACAUCUCCUUUUCGCCGAUGACAGCAUCUUCUUUGCAAAAAGUGACACACAUAGUGUGGAAGCUUUGGAAUCUACCCUCACACUCUAUUGCAAUGGAUCUACUCAAUUGAUCAACAAAAAUAAGUCCUCAUUGUCCUUUGGCCGUUCUUUUCCGGAAGGUGUCAAACAGCGUGUUAAAACAAGAUUGGGAAUAUCAAAUGAAUCUCUAAUGACACAUACCUUGGUAUGCCCACUCAGAUUUUUGGAAUGCUUCUGCGUCAAAUCUGCGUCUGCUACUUGGCGUGGCAUCCUUGCCGGCCGUGAGAUUUUGAAGCAUGGUGUUAGAGGGGGUAUUAGUGAUGGCAAGAAUAUUAUGACGAAUCACUGGAUUCCAUCGAAUCCUCCAAAUAUGCUUCAGCUGUCCUCACCUAUUCCUAUAAAUGCUAAGGUUCAUUGCCUUCUUGACGAGGACAAUUGCACAUGGAAUGAGGAAACAAUGCGUGCCUUUUUUACUGAUGAUGUUGCUUCAAAGAUUCUUCUUUUACCCAUUAGUAAACAUGGAGGCAAUGAUUUUGCUUACUCCAUUCACUCGAUAUGGUGA
rnacentral:rRNA from 1 species